AUGCAACACCUAGCGCAUAAUUUCAAAAAGAAGUUCAAAGGUAAAGUUUAUGAUGAGAACUUAUGGCCAGCAUCAUACACAUGCAGCAAAAGGAAGCAUGAACACCAUUUGAGAGUGUUGUAUGCCCAAAAUCCUCUUGUGAAGUACAUGGAUGCACAUCAUGGUAAGGUGUGGUCAAGAAGCAAAUUCAACGAAAUCUACAAAGUAGAUUAUGUGACCAGUAACCUUGCAGAAUGCUUCAAUUCAAAGUUCAAGUCAGUGAAAGGGCUCUUGUUGUGGCAAGCAUUUGACAAGAUGAGGCAAAUGAUCAUGAUAAAGAUGGCUCUUCGCAAAAGAAUUGCAGAAACACAAUAUGUUGGUCAUCAAAUGCUCCCAUCACUGAUUAAGGCAUUGCACUUGAAGGCAAGAGGACUGAAGAUGAAAUGUAUUCGAUCUGGUACAUAUGAGGGAGAGGUUACCUAUACUAACACUAAAAAUAGGGUAUGGAGGUAUCCUGUGAACCUAAGUACUAGAGAAUGUACUUGUAGGCAAUGGCAGAUCCGUGGGAAGCCAUGCAUACAUGCCCUACAUCUGAUGACCGUUAUCGGGGGUGCAGAUGGUGAAGUUGAUCAAUAUUGCUCUGAGUAUUUCUCUGUUGCCAAAUUUAUGGCUGCUUAUGCUGACAAUGUACCUGCACUAUUGGGGAGAGAUCAAUGGAACAUAGUAGAUCCGGGGUUCAAACUCCACGCUCCUGUCAUUACUAGACCACCAGGAAGACCAAGGAACCAGAGGAUUAGAGCAGGUGAGGAGGGUCGUCUACCAAAGAAGCGUGCUUGCAAAAAAUGUGGAGUUCUGGGGCAUAUUGCUAGGCUUUGUACCAAUGCAGUGGAUGCAUCAUUUGGAGAAGAGGAAAGAUGGACAACAACAUUUGCUGAGGAGAAUGCAGCAGCAAUGGAGACUGAAGAUGCAGUGGAGAAUGCAGCAGCAAAUGAAGCAGUGGAGAAUGCAGCAACAAAUGAAGCAUCUUGCUCUAGGGAGAAAAGGCCAAGAGAUGAAGAAGCAGAAGAUUUUGAAACCAUGGCCUUUGAUGGUUUUGAAGCUAUAAGAGAGGAAGAGGAGGGGGUAAUUUUUCCAAUUGUGCCUUUAAAGAUUAAUGAACCCAUAGAUGACUGUCAAAUGGUCGUCAAGUGCUCGGCGAGUGGAACUACUCCAUCAGCACCUCCACGGGGAAAACCCCAAGUAAAGCCCAAGAUCAAAAGGAACAAGAGUCUGAAAGAAAAGAGCAUCUCAACUACGGAAACCAGGAGCAAGACGGUGAAGCCAGCUGCAAACACAAGGAGCAAGUCGAAAAUUUGA
rnacentral:rRNA from 1 species